AACGAACGCUGGCGGCGUGCCUCAUACAUGCAAGUCGAACGAGAAAGCCCGGCUUCGGUUGGGUUAGUAAAGUGGCGCACGGGUGCGUAACACGUGAGGAACAUGCCCCUAUGUCGGGGAUAAGCCUGCGAAAGCGGGUCUAAUACCGGAUGUUGUCAUUGGAUCGCAUGGUUCGAUGAUUAAAGGCGGUUGAGUCUAUGCCGCCGCAUAGGGAUUGUCUCGCGGCCCAUUAGCUAGUUGGCGGUGUAAUAGACCACCAAGGCUCCGAUGGGUAGCCGACCUGAGAGGGUGACCGGCCACACUGGGACUGAGAUACGGCCCAGACUCCUACGGGAGGCUG
rnacentral:rRNA from 1 species